AGAGAGAGAGAGAGAGAUUCGUACCAUCCUUCGACAAAGGAAGGCCCGCUGCUCUGCUGCUGCUGCUGAGGUGGCGGCUGGGCGUACGGCGGAGGGUAACCCUGCGAGGGGUACCCCUGAGGCGGAUAUCCCUGCGCGUACCCCUGCGGCGGGUACCCCUGCUGCGGAUACCCCGGCGGCGGAUAAGCAUCCUUCGCGUACCCCUCCUGUGGAUACCCUAAUCAUCACCUAAAACCAACUCCAUCAGAAACCCUACAAACCAGAGAAAAUUCGAGAACGAAUUCGAGAGAGAAAUCGCUACCUUGGGGAGGAGGGACGCCAACGGGGGGCUGUUGCUGGUUGUAGUAGCUCAUCUCUCUCCUUCCUUGUUCUCGCCGGCGGCGGAGAUCGGGUUCAAUAAGGCUCCGAUGCCGAGUUCUGAGAGAAUUGUGGGAUCGGAGAGCUUUAUAGGAGGAGAGAGAAAGUGGAGGACGCGUAUCGAGAACUGUUAAUACGCCCGAACCGUA
rnacentral:lncRNA from 1 species